GUGGGGUUAAAUGAGACGGAAAAAAGGGCGCGUGUAUUUAUCACUUCUCCUGUUCUCCUCAGCCGAAAACCCUAGAUCGAGCUUGAGCGAAACGGCAGGCGACCUCGAGGGCGGGGAAGCCGUGAGGCGGCAGAGGGCUCGGGGAAGGGCGGUGCAGCGAUGGCAAGCUCAAGGAGCGACGGGUCGUCUUCUUCGUCUCGACGGCCUGCUCCUGUCCCCUAUUGGGUCCAAUGAGUAUCAACCCCCGGUGUUCUGUCGUUGCAAGGCGAAAGCAGCGAGAUGGAUAUCCUGGAGCGUAGAUAAUCCUAGCCGGCGGUAUUUUAAGUGUCGCAAUGCUCAGGAUGGGGGAUGUGAUUUUUUUGAUUGGUGCGACGAGUUGACGAGCAGUUUUCUUAGAGAGUUGUUGAAUGACCUGAGAGAUGCUGUGAUGUCGCUUAGGAUGGAGAAGGACCAGCUACGGCAGAAGGUAGAGGAGUGCAGGGAGCGUCUGGUAGAGGAUACGAAUAGGAUUGAAGAAACAAGGGCUGAGCUUGCAGCAGUUAGGCAAAACUGCUUUGAAAUUUGGAAAGAAUUGUGU
rnacentral:lncRNA from 1 species